rnacentral:lncRNA from 1 species
AUCAAACAAAAAUUCAAAUACGUUUAAGGCCAUAACUUUUGCUUCCACCGUCUCUGAAACUCUCCUACUACUUACUUUCUCACUCCUUUGUUUUUAUCUUCGAACCUUUGUGGGUUUUUCCCUUUUAAGUUUUGUUUGCCCGUAUUUGUAGUGCUUUUGAUAUUCUAUUGUUCAGUACCACCUCUGUUUCCUGUUGAAGUAAGGAAAAACUCAGGUUAAAAUCACCUGGCGCUGGGUUCUUCACUGCUACACCCGUGAACUGGUCAGUUUACAUUUUCUACAAUUUUUUUUCUUUCUUCUAUUUAUAAUUUUGCCUUAGUAUUUCUGCAUAAGGGUCUUAUUUUACCUUCUCUGAAAUUUUCUUAUCUUAGGGGUUUCGAGAUUUUCGUAUGAUAAGAUUCAACAGUAUAAAAGGACUUGCAAACAAGAGAGAAUGAUUUUUUGUCAAUUGGGUUGUCAUUAGAAAAAUAAGAAUUGAAAAGACAAUUUCUUUAAAGGGAAGAUCAAAGUGGUUGUUGAAAUUGGAUUUCGCUUCUUCAUUCCAACUUGAGUUUCCUAAAUCCAUUUUGGGGUAAUGGGUGCUGGGAAUUUUGGUUAUUUUAUGAAGGUCAUUUUGGUAGUUGUGAUAUUGUAAAUUCUCUCUUUUAUCGAUUAAUAACAUUGGUAAAUUUGAUUGUUUAUCAUUUUUAUGGUACAAAGAUAGUUUUUAGAAACUCAGAUGUACUUGGUAAGAGAAACAAAUUUGUUUCUUACACCUGAAAAAAGAUAGAUUUGUUGUAGUAGCAGCAUCUGAGCACCGUUGGUUCAAGUAUAAAUGAAACAUAUGCUGCAUUGCAUAUAAUGUAGAUAUUUAAACUUCCAGAUUAGAUUGUUAUACUGUCAUGUUUAGCUUCUUCGCUAUCUCCUUCCUUCAUUUUUCCAACGGAAAAGCAGUACCAACAGCAGAAAAUGGGUUGCACUUUUCUUUAAUAUAUCCAAUUAAAUAACUUCUUUCCUAGCUGAUAUGUUUCAGUGGUUUGAUUUUUUUUGUCUUCUCUUGUAAUUGUUAAUUCUGUUUUGUCACUAUAUGUUAUGUGUGGUUUCUUAGAUGUAAAUAAUGUUACUCAAGCGUGUGAUGUCGUAUACUAUUUUCAGCUAGUAAUUCAUCUCGUGAUGACAUGUAUGUAGCCUACAUGUUUUUUAUCGAAGAUAGGUCUACUUAUGAGUGCUUUGAUUUUCUCUUUACAGCUCUUUGGUCGCCCUCAAUGCUAAUGGUGAUCCCCAAGGUUCAACAAAUGAAUGAAACUAUGAUCGUACCCGGAUAGAGAUGAUGGUCUUCCUCUGAUGUCUCCAAGCCGGCCAUAAUAGAAUAGAUAGUUCGGUUAGGAACUACUCAUGAUUCUAACCGUAAUAUAAAGAGCAUAUGCAGAUUGUACUACAGCUUGCGCUGACGGUUCCAAAGAUGUAUAUGAUAGAUGCGUAAUAGCUGCCCAUGUUUGUGCUAAUAGCAUGAUCUAUAAUGCAACUGAAUGGUUUAUCUGAUAUAAGGUUUCAAUUUUUUCUAGACGUGGAAUGGAAUUGGUCCGGCUAAUGAAAAGAACUUCUUGUUACAACUAUAGGGUACCAACUUGGCAAGUUUUCUUUACAUACCAUUGAAACAGAUUAAAAGUUAAUAGUGUGGUUAUUCUGCUGUUUUGCAGUAUUUAUAGAUCUCCUAUUCUUCUUUUUUGCUUUAUGCACUACAAAUAUUCUUUUAUAUCUUUGUAAGAAAUACUUAUAUUUGGAAUGCAUAUUUGCACCAAAAGAACCUAAAAGAG